UACGUAGGGUGCGAGCGUUGUCCGGAAUUAUUGGGCGUAAAGGGCUCGUAGGCGGUUUGUCGCGUCGGGAGUGAAAUCAUCUGGCUUAACUGGGUGCUUGCUUUCGAUACGGGCAGACUAGAGGUAUGCAGGGGAGAACGGAAUUCCUGGUGUAGCGGUGAAAUGCGCAGAUAUCAGGAGGAACACCGGUGGCGAAGGCGGUUCUCUGGGCAUUACCUGACGCUGAGGAGCGAAAGUGUGGGGAGCGAACAGG
rnacentral:rRNA from 1 species